AUCAUCAAGUGAUAAUUUGUCUGUCAAGCCAAACAUAGCACCUAGAGUGGAGCCACUGCUUACCAUAAUCAGCAGAGUAACUGAAGCUGCCUAACAUUGAACAUUUAUGCAGUUCCUUCACCUGCGUGUUCUCAUUUCAUGUUCAGAAAACCAUAGAAGGGUUACUGAUUGUUGUUGCUGUCACCUUCAUUAUACUUAUUCAUAAACUGAGAAAGGGCUCAGGGGUUUUCUAAGGUCCCUUGGCAGGUGAACAGUGGUGGUGCUAGCAGGCAUUCUUGGUUUCACAGCUGAUUUUUGAAGUGACCCUUUGGCUUGAAAAAGAGUGUCCCAUCUUGGACAUUUCUACAAGUGGCUCAACAGUGACCUGAAGAGCUCUGGGAUGCUCUGAGAUGGCAUACACAUGUUGGUGUGGAAUGAAGAACAUACGUUAGAAAGGUUAUCUGUAUGUCACGCUGAGGAACCUCGCCAUAGGAGAGGCCUUUGGGAGAAUCUUAGUCCCUUUGCUUCAGUUUCAAUCAAAACAAAGCUGCCAUGCCAUGCAUUCCUGGAGCAGAAGAGGACAGCUGCCCCCCCCCCCCCAGGGCUGGCUCUACUUGUGGGAAGAGAGGCUCAGAAGCUCAAAGCAGGAACUACAGAGGGAUAUAGGGAAAUAAAUCUGCCACUUGUUACAGGACUAAGUUCUCAUCGGAGCACCCACAAUAAAUAAGUAACAGCAUA